ACACCCCCCCAACACCGCCCAGCACCUUUCUACCUCUUCCUUCCCUCCCAAUGUGCUUUCCCCAAGAUCACUCACGCCUUCGGAUCCAGGAGGGCCGGCAGGAGCGCAGAGAAGGAGCGUAGCCCGUCCGCCUCCCUGCUUGCCUUCCUUCCUCAGUCGGAGGUAGCAGCGGAGGGCAAGGACACGAACACGUUGCCGUGGAAGAAGCGGUGGAUACUGCGGCUCCUCUUGCAGGCGACGGCCGGUGCCUCUUCCUGUGCCGGGGAGAAGGCUGCCAGCCCGGCACCCUCCUCCGCUCCUCGCCCCGCUUCGGCUCGGGCUGCGGCCCCCGCCCGCCCGGGGCCGCUCCCCCGGGCACAGUCACGUUGGGGAGCCUCCCGGCUUUGCUUUUAUAAAAAGUUUUCUCGGGGCGGAGGAAGAGGAGCAGAAGUCGGGUGCGGGCGCUCCCCCCCGGUCGGUGCCCCCGGCCCCGCCGCCCUCGGGGCUGGGGCGGGGGAGGGGGCGCGGAGGGAAUCUCCUCCCCCGGGCCCAGGCAAGGACGCGGAGAGGGGGGCCGGUCCCGGAGCCGGGGUCGGGGGGCGAGCCCCCGGCUUCCUGCUCUGCCCGCCGCCUCGGCUGCCGCUUCACAUCGGGCUCCCCGCCCCCCCGGCCUUGGGGAGGCUGCUCGGGCCGCGGCCCCGGUUCAUGCGCUCCCUCCCGGGGCGGGAUGCUACGGCCCCGGGCGGACAGCGGCGAGGAGGCUGGGGGACCAGCCGGCUCCCUUCGGCGCCGCCCUCGCUCCGGGCUCCAGCAUGUGUCCCCCUCCGCACCCCGGGGGAGCCCCCUGCCCGGAGACGGUCCCUCCUCUCCCCGGGACAGCUACCUGACACGCCCCCGGCCGCGGCCGCCUCGCUCCCUGCCUCCCGGGCCGGCUCCGGCUCCGGCUCCUGCCCCGGCGUGUGCGGCGGCGGCGGCGGCGAAGCGAGGUCGGGGGCGGGGGGCGCUGUGGAGAAGGACGGCCUCGGCUCCCGCGGGCCCGGGCUCAGCGCGGGGCUCAGCCAAGUGGCAAGGUCUCGGUCCGGCUCACUCGCUCGCUCUCUCCCUCCCUCUCUGUCGGCGGUGGCGCCGGGAGCUCCGCUCGCUCUCCCUCCCUCUCAGUGCGGGACUCUCUCGCCUCACUCCAAAGAGAGAGCAAGCGAGAGGGGAGGGGGGGCGACAGGGGAGCGGCGCACACGGAUGACGCAAAUCACCUAG
rnacentral:lncRNA from 1 species